GCGAGCGUGGUGGAAUUGGUAGACACGCAGGAUUUAGGUUCCUGUGCUUCAUCGCGUGGGGGUUCGAGUCCCCCCGCUCGCA
rnacentral:tRNA from 2 species